ensembl:lncRNA
CCCCUUCCUGCCCACCCGCCUCCAGCUAAGUCCCACCCCUGGUGUCCUCUAGCCAAUUGCAAUGCAGAUUUCCUCUCUGUGGCUUUACUGUUAGGUGCAGAGUUGCAGACAAGCAGGCUGACCUCAGAGACUCUGAUGACAGCCCCACCUUUACUGAUCUUAAAGGUAUUUCCCUAAUUUCAUGCUCCUCUCAACACCAUUGCCUUUUGCUCUUGCUAUGUGAAACAAAUCCGAAGACUAACUGCACUGUUCAGGCAAAGCACCAAAAAUCCAAACUAGAAAAUGUAGGAAGAAAAAGUUAAAAAUAUAUAUCAAUCUUAAAAAAAGAAUCAGACAAAAACUAGCUAAACUAAAAAGUAAGUUUUGAUUAAAGGACAUUAUUAUACUUUAUAAUUAUGAGCAAAAAGUCAGCUUUAGAAAAAGUAGGACAUUUGCAACAUGUAAGCCCUUUCCAGGGCUCCCACCUUUACGUGAGGUGGGAGGGGGGUUUAGGAUGGGGAUGCAGCAGUGAUGCAGAAGUGAUGAGUCAGAGCCCUGUUCACGAUGCUUCCAUUUGAAUCAAUAGAACAGCUGUUGUCUCUGGCGCUCCGGGCCCUCGUUCCCGCGAGUGGACAGCAAUUAUGUGACAGCCCGAGUGCUUUUACAAAGGCGACGGCAGCCGAACGUUAAAACGACACGCACUGGUUGAACAUCAAUGGGGCGAGACUUGCUCUGGCCGGGCAGCUGCCGAACUAACCCUAAUAACCCCUCGGGCCAGCUUCGGUAGACAGAGCUUAAAGCCUUUUACUGGGUGAAUGGAGAACUUCUAUUUUUCUUCACCUAUCUCUGUCAAAAAAGAUCAGCUUGUCAUACAAGGUGAACACUUAAACUGCAAAGCAAGUCACACAACUUCAAAUUUCCAAACUUUCUAGUGUUAUACUAAAGGUAAUUUAACAUCAUUGCAAUAUACUGUAACUAUCAAUAGCUAUUCAAUUAAAUGAAAUAUAACCUAAACGAGCAGAUGUAAAAUGUUUAUUUGAUUUCUGUGUGCCCAUAUCUGUCCACAAUGAUGCGGUCAUCUAGUCAAAAUGACCGUGAGGUCAUGUUCUCAAUGUGGCACAAAGAAAAAGAAGUCUCCAACAGGAAGAAAACAGUUGCCUCCAGAACAAAACAGUUAGGCGUUACUUCCUUCCUUCAAGCUAUCCACACCCAGACUCACGUCCUGGCUAACCCUUCACCACAUGAAGGCUCUACUACAAGUAUUGCUAUGGCCAAAUUUCUCAUCACUGAAUGCAUCUGACAUGAAAAAUUGGGUGAAUUUUGCCAUGGCGUAUGGUACAAACAAGGGGUCUUUAUUGCAAUCUUUGUAUUCAAGGAUUGUGUUUAGCUUUGCAUUUACAUGUGUAAAACAUUUUUUUAAAUUCAGUGAUCAUCAAGUUAAUCAUAUCUGCAGUCUGGUAAUAUUUACAUCUCUACACCGCACCAGGCCACUUCCCUAUAAUGCAUGCAAAGUAAAUGCAGAGCCUGGAGAAAAAUCCUUUUUACACCUUCAAACUAAAUUAUUAUAGAGACUGCAUAGUAAUAGUAUUAGUCACAUUUUGAUGUGAAAAAAAGUUUUUACGCGGUUGCAAAAGGUUUGUAGAUAUAGCCCUUAAUAAGGUGCUGAAGGCUUCUAAAAUCCCCUUUUUAAGUGUCGGGCUUCACAUGGACAUAGCCAGGUGCUCCAGCUUCACCCCAAGAAAAUACAGCACUAUAUAGCUAUAGAGUUUGGGGGAGAUGUUUCUCUUUGGGUUGAGCAUGAUUUAUUGCAGUGGGCCAAUUUCAAGAGUAAGCAUAUACCUUAGAAGGCAAUGCAGUGCACUUGGAGGAAAGCCUAGUCUCUCUGUAAUCCAGUGUGUAAUUACAGUGAUACAGUGAGUCAUUUCGAGUGAAAGACACACAAGUGAAUCACAUUGACACAUACCCAAUAACAUCAUAAUAAUCUAAUUAUUACAAUUAUUAUAUUGUGAAUCCAAUAACUGUGAACAUUCUGUCUAUCAUUGCCGGUGACAGCAGACAUCCUGCAAAAAAGCAGCUACAGUGUACACUGCAACCAUUCCUAAGGGUGCAAGGGGCCCAAUAAAAGGAGAGGAGAGAAAUUAUAGCCAAACAACACAGCAGUUCCCUCGAGGUCUGAGCAACAGUGCUCUACCACAGGGAGAAAAAAAAAAAAAAAAAAAAUCCCAGUGGCUGGGAGCUGGGAUGACAUCCUUUGUCUGUUUAAUCUCAAGGGGGAGAGACUCCUUCACAACCCAAUCUGAACCCUCCAAAAAAUGUACACAAAUGUAUAUCUGUAUAAAUCCGAAUGUAAACUCAAUGAUUCUACAAAUCUAGCAUUAAAAGAAACUGACAUGUGAGAAGCCGGCUGCAAUCUUAAAAAAAAAUAUCCCCUGCUAGUUCUGUUGUAAUACAAUCAUUUCUGCAUUUGUUCAAUUUAGGAAAAAAAGGCACAAUGAUGCUGUGAAUCAGCAGCAUCACAAAAUCGAUUAUGAGGUUCUGCCUCCUCAGUGCUGACUGUAGCUUAAUUAAAUAUCAAGUUGCGGUGUUCUGUUUCUUCAAACAAGCCCUGGCAGUGCCCAUUACACCCUGGUUUGGCCAACAUGUUAAUCACAGCAGGACCAUUCUCACAAGGAAAAAAAAAACAGACAAGAGUUAUUCAGAGACAUUAAGAACGAGAGAGAUGAGCAAACCAAAUGGUAUAGUUUCAGUGUUCCAUGAUUCAAUGUGUCAAGUCCCUUAAUUAGGGUUUCCAAGGAUACCGCUAAGGACAACACAUCCAGAGACAUCCUUCCAGUGAAUCUAAUCUCAAGUACGUUCAGAUGCAAAUCAGAUCCAAGAGAUCUCUUUGUGUAGGAUAUGACCCCUAUAGACAUAGAAAACAGCUCUAUGAAAAUUCUGCCCCAACUCGAGUUCGGCUCUCUAAUGGGCCGAGAUGAACAGCUACUGAUAUUUAACACAGAUAUGUAUAAUAACAUGGAUGGUCCACUCUCUGUGAACAACUAGGUGUGCCUGGAUAUCAGAUAAAGGAAUUAAACUUCUAUUUGGGUCAUCCAUGCAUUAACGUUAAUUAAGACUUACCAAAGCAUCUUAACAUACAUCCUAUUUCAUAUUUUCCUCUCAGCAAUUCCAUAAUAAGCCUACUCGUUCGAGCAGUAAUGUCUGAAUAUUACUGACAGAUUGUUAUGCAAUACACCUACCUGGUUACAUUUCAUAAAACACCUUACGGUCACAGUCGUUUUGGUAUGUUAUAGCAAUUUUGUAGUUAGGUGUCUUGAUGCAGACUGAUUCCUCUAACAGCUCUGUAAUUCUCAUUGAUAGUGCGCGUCUGAAGGGCAAACUUGCAUCUUAACAGCAAGAUAGAUGUCUCCAUGGACAUGUCUCUUCCCCACUCUGUUUGUACGGACACUUGGGGAUCGCAACAAAUGAUGCAACAAAUGUCUAAUAAUUGGUUGCAAAGCUACUGCUGGAUAUUUCUUUAACCGCAUGCAUGACCUCGCAAACUAGGACAUGAGGAGACCACAAUUACUUUUCUUAGCUUAUGCAUCACAAAUAAUAUUCGGAAAACGAAGUAAACCAUUAAGUGGCACUAGUAACAGUAGACGACAGUAUGAAUACUGUAAAAAUGCUGCUUUACAAUUACUUACGUACACGAUAAAAAAUGUAGUACGUGACAUUGAUUAACAAGUAACUUAGCUUAAUCCCAAGUGUUCGUGACAUCCAAAAUGAUUGCUUACUGUAAAAAGUUCAGUUUAUUUUUCAAGGUAGAUAUCACAGAACCUAUCAGCUUUUACGGAAACGACCGCUAACGUUAGGACAGUGAGGACAGUUGGAAAACGGCAAUCUUGCCACGGGAAGAAAAAAACAUGCUAACUAGCCCAUCAAGCCCAUAGUCAGCCAACGUGAUUUUCAAGCAAUGACGACAUACUGACAAACACGACAUCUAUGAGCAAGUUUCGUUGGUUCAUGAAUUAGCACUAACAAUCUACAUGGUAUGGCAUAUAUGUUAGGUUAGGUUAACGUUACUUUAACAGAUAACCUUAACUAGUUCAGGGCAAGAUGUGUUAACGUUAGUUAACUGUUUAUUCAUUAGCUAACAUUAGCCUGCCACGGAGAAUACAUUUCACACAUGGAUCUGAUAGUUACCUAGUUAGCUAAGAGGAUAUCAUAACGUUGAAGCGUAAUUUCUUAACUGCCAAAAUGCAGUCAACUUACCUGCUAAAUUUAUGAGCUAUCAGACUGCUAACGGUAGCUAAGUGUUACAUCUCACCAAGUUCAUCACCUGGUCACGCGAGCUUUAACACGUGUGGACAGGCUCGCAAUUUUAAUUUUGUUUUCCCGCAAAGCGGCAAAAAAGUAACCAUCCUAGGUACCUUGAUAACAGAAGUCAAAUAACGUCAGCUAACAGUUAACGUUAGCCGGCUUACCUGGCCACCAUGACCUGCAGCUUCUGGUGUGUAUCACCAACAGUAGCUAGCUCGCUACCUAGGAGUGAGUUUGGUCGAUGGUGUCGCUUAACAAGUCCUCAAGUGGACCAAAUUAAGGCUGUUGUGACUUGAACCCAAACAUUCGUAUGGGGGUUAAAGAAACUAUUAUUUUCAGAGAGGCGCAAGGACUUACCUCCAACUACUGUUACUUUGCAGUAAGGCUGCUCGAGCAACAAGCUCCUCUGACAGCUCAUGGAAGAAGAAAUAAUGUUUUUAAGGGAUACGGUGAACAGAAAGCAAGAGGAUGUCUACAAAGAUUCUUUUCAAGUCAGAACUGGGGCCCAGGAGACAUUAUUGUGUUUCCUGCGAUAAUUAAAUGAGCUGCAUGAGGUCCUACUGAUGAUGUCAUGCUCAUGAUGUUGUUUGGCUUGUUGAAUUUCUGUAUGCUUGAUGCUUGUGAUGCAAGAUCUGAUACACAGCUGAGACAAGAAUGAUGACAGUUUGAAUAAACUUAAGACUCCAAAUUACAGUGAUAAAAAAUAGAGCAUAGAGCAAGAUAAAGCUGAGAAAAAUUAGCAUAUAAAAUGUUGAAAAUGAUUUAACAUAUAAUAUUUACAUUAACGUCAUAAUCUAGGGUUAGGGUUAUAUUACAUCAUGGGAAUGUAUGAAGGAUACAGUGCAAAGCUCAUCACACCUACAACACAAACAUGAUAUCACAAAUCUUUUUCUUGUAGUUGAAAUUAACAAAUCUGGUAGAGCAUCGGUGUCGAUGAUAAAAGUUGUGAGUGCAGUCAUGAGAUGUUUGAGACAAUUUGUUAUUAUUAAAGUUUUGAAUGUUUAGGAUGCUUUAUGACUUAAGAUGAUGUUUCAAAACCAUGCCUGUACACAUUUUAAAGUCACGCAAGUCACA